rnacentral:rRNA from 1 species
CGAACGAAUCCACUCUUGUAGCAUACGGGGUGGGGGAAGUGGCGAAAGGGGCAGUAAGCGUGGGUACUACCCUGGGGAUGGGCAUAGCCGUUCUAACGAGCGGGUAAUACCCAGCGAUCCGGCCGAGGGGACAUCCUCUUGCCGGGAAAAGAAUUUCGCUCGGGAGGGGCUCACGUGCUAUUAGCUAGUUGGUGAGGUAACGGUCACCAAGGCAAAGAUGGUAGCGGGUGUGAGAGCACGACCGGCCAUGGCACUGAACACUGGCCAGACACCUACGGGUGGCUGCAGUCGAGGAUCUUCGUCAAUGGGCGCAAGCCUGAACGAGCGACGCCGCGUGUGCGAUGAAGGCCUUCGGGUUGUAAAGCACUGUCGAGGGGGAUCAAGGCCGAAGGCUUGAGCGAUCCCUGGAGGAAGCACGGGCUAAGUUCGUGCCAGCAGCCGCGGUAAGACGAACCGGCGAACGUGUUCGGAAUCACUGGGCUUAAAGGGCGCGUAGCGGAGGCGAGGUCGGGGGGUGAAAUCCCAC